ensembl:lncRNA
UCUGAUUUCUCACCCCAAACCAGGGUUCCGUGAUGGAUUUUGGGGUCCAUGAUGGAUUUUGGGGUUCCAUGAUGGAUUUUGGGUUCCGUGAUGGAUUUUGGGUUCCCUGAUGGAUUUUGGGUUCCAUUAUGGAUUUUGUGUUCCAUGAUGGAUUUUGGGGUUCCCUGAUGGAUUUUGUGUUCCAUGAUGGAUUUUGGGGUUCCAUGAUGGAUUUUGGGUUCCAAUCCAUGAUUUCUCCCCUGGUUUCUCAGUGGAAGGUCCCUCCCAGGCUCACCUGGGUACAAGGACAGGUUCCCUGAUGAAUUUUGGGGUUCCCUGAUGGAUUUUGGGUUCCCAGUUCCAGGUUUCUUGGUGGAAGGUCUCUCCCAGACCUGUCUGGGAUGGAUUUUGGGGUUCCCUGAUGGAUUUUGGGUUCCCAAUUCCAGGUUUCUCAGUGGAAGGUCCCUUGCAGGCCCAUCUGGGAUGGAUUUGGGGUUCCAUGAUUCCCAAUCCCUGUUUCUCCCCAGGUUUCUCGGUGGAAGGUCCCUUACAGGGUUCCAUGAUGGAUUUUGGGGUUCCCUGAUGGAUUUUGGGUUCCCAAUUCCAGGUUUCUCGGUGGAAGGUCCCUCCCAGGCCUGUCUGGGAUGGAUUUUGGGGUUCCCUGAUGGAUUUUGGGUUUCCAUGAUGGAUUUUGGGGCUCCCUGAUGGAUUUUGGGUUUCCAUGAUGGAUUUUGGGUUCCAAUCUUGGUUUCUCCCCAGGUUUCUCAGUGGAAGGUCCCUCCCAGGGUUCCAUGAUGGAUUUGGGGUUCCAUGAUGGAUUUUGGGUUUCUCCCCAGGUUUCUCGGUGGAAGGUCCCUCCCAGACCCAUCUGGGAUGGAUUUUGGGGUUCCCUGAUGGAUUUUGGGUUCCCAAUUCCAGGUUUCUCAGUGGAAGUUCCCUCCCAGACCUGUCUGGGAUGGAUUUUGGGGUUCCCUGAUGGAUUUUGGGGUUCCCUGAUGCAUUUUGGGUUCCCAAUUCCAGGUUUCUCGGUGGAGGGUCCCUCCCAGACCCACCUGGGAUGGAUUUUGGGGUUCCAUGAUUCCCAAUCCAUGUUUCUCCCCAGGUUUCUCGGUGGAAGUUCCCUCCCAGGCCCGCCUGGGAUGGAUUUUGGGGUUCCCUGAUGGAUUUUGGGUUCCCAAUUCCAGGUUUCUCGGUGGAAGGUCCCUCGCAGACCUGUCUGGGAUGGAUUUUGGGGUUCCCUGAUGGAUUUUGGGUUUCUCCCCAGGUUUCUCGGUGGAAGUUCCCUCCCAGACCUGUCUGGGAUGGAUUUUGGGUUCCAUGAUGGAUUUGGGGUUCCCUGAUGGAUUUUGGGUUCCCUGAUGGAUUUUGGGUUCCAAUCUUGGUUUCUCCCCAGGUUUCUCAGUGGAAGGUCUCUCCCAGACCUGUCUGGGAUGGAUUUUGGGGUUCCCUGAUGGAUUUUGGGUUCCCAAUUCCAGGUUUCUCGGUGGAGGGUCCCUCCCAGACCCACCUGGGAUGGAUUUUGGGGUUCCAUGAUUCCCAAUCCCUGUUUCUCCCCAGGUUUCUCGGUGGAGGGUCCCUCCAAGGCCCGCCUGGAGUGCGAGGACGGC